UGGGGUGGGUGUGUCUCCCAGAUGAAUUCCCACCUUUUUGUGCAUGUUGGAGUGUGACAGAAAGCAAGGGCCAAAGGGCCAGAAGAAGGUCAGCUGUACUGAAAAAAGCAGGUUAAUGUUCUGAUUCCCUAUGUGUAAAAUUGAAGUCUUUGAGAUCUGUCAGCUUCCAGAGGAAUAAGAUGAAGCAUUAUCAACCAUUAUAUGGGCUUGAAAUAUGGAAAACUUUCAGAUCUGUUGCCACAAACAAGCAUCACAAGAAACAGG